UGGGGAAUAUUGCGCAAUGGGCGAAAGCCUGACGCAGCGACGCCGCGUGAGGGAUGAAGGUUUUCGGAUCGUAAACCUCUGUCAGAAGGGAAGAAGUUAUGCCGUUCUAAUCAGCGGCAUAUUGACGGUACCUUCAAAGGAAGGCACCGGCUAACUCCGUGCCAGCAGCCGCGGUAAUACGGAGGGUGCGAGCGUUAAUCGGAAUUACUGGGCGUAAAGCGCACGUAGGCUGUAUGUCAAGUCAAGGGUGAAAAUCCCACGGCUCAAGCCGUGGAACUGCCUUUGAAACUGGCAAACUGGAGUAUGUGAGAGGAUGGCGGAAUUCCUGGUGUAGGAGUGAAAUCCGUAGAUAUCAGGAGGAACAUCAGUGGCGAAGGCGGCCAUCUGGCACAUAACUGACGCUGGAGGUGCGAAAAGCGUGGGUAGCAAACAGGAUUAGAUACC
rnacentral:rRNA from 1 species